GGGGAUGUAGCUUGGUGGUAAAGUGUUUGUCUGGCAUGCAUGAGGCUCUGGGUCUGAUCUCCAGCAUCACAA
rnacentral:tRNA from 1 species